rnacentral:lncRNA from 1 species
CACUGAAGGGUUAGUACAUUUUUUGAGGGUCCAAUACAUAUUGGAGAUCCACAAGAAUUAAGGUAUUUUGGCUGGAAAACUUAUACAGUUGAGUUCCUGAAGAGUUUGGGGACCACACACUUUCAAAUUUGGAGAGUUAGAUUUCUAAAGAAUGAAAGAAUUGUUGCUUGAAAGCUAUAAUCUCUGGGAGAGAAGAUGAUCUACACAUGCAGCCUGGGGAUAGAGGAGUAGCACAAAGCUAGACAAUGAAAAGGAGCCAAAACUUGUGCUUAGUUUUCAUCAGUAUUUUAAAUUAUUAAAAUAAUGCCAAUGUUAUGGGAAAUGAGUUUUCUUCAUUAACAGCAACAAACUUGUUCCUCACUUAAGGUCAUGGGAAAUCUUCACAUGCUUGGGGUAGAUACCUCCCUAACUAACCUGGCUUAGCCUGCCUGCUAAGAUUGUUGAUUGAGGUAUGGCUGCUGUGCAUGCUACAGCUUCUUGGAGCCAAGAUGAGAACGGUGGCAGAAAGACAUCACAGAAAAGCAGCCCUGAAAAAGGCCCUGCAAGUCUUCUUACCAGAGGUCUUUUCUGAACACUACCUACGCAUCAGUCUUCAUAUGUCACAGUAGCAUAGAGUAACAGAAUGCCUGGUUAUUUAAGGCGUGAAAGAAGCCCUUUCGUCUAUCAUACCAUGAACAACCUUGAUGCCAUUGUCUCAGCUUUGAAUUAUAAUGGAUGUCAUCAGUAAUCUAUACUCUAAAUAUUGCAGACCACAUCCAGACCACUCCCUUUGAUCUAGGACAUGACACUGUUAAUAUGCAAAGUGCACUGAAUUUGGAAUUAAAGAACUUGAAUUCAAAACCUUCUCUCCUCUGCCAUCCUAAGACCAGCAUUGAACAUCUCUACAUCUGUUUCCUCCCCUGUAAAAUUAUGGAGU